rnacentral:rRNA from 1 species
AGAGCGAACGCUGGCGGCAGGCCUAACACAUGCAAGUCGAGCGCCCGUAGCAAUACGGGAGCGGCAGACGGGAUAGUAACACGUGGGAACGCGCCCUUCGGUUCGGAAUAACUCAGGGAAACUUGAGCUAAUACCGAAUACGCCCUUACGGGGAAAGAUUUAUUGCCGAAGGAACGGCCCGCAUCCGAUUAGCUAGUUGGUGAGGUAAUGGCUCACCAAGGCUACGAUCGGUAGCUGGUCUGAGAGGAUGACCAGCAUCACUGGGACUGAGACACGGCCCAGACUCCUACGGGAGGCAGCAGUAGGGAAUAUUGGACAAUGGGCGCAAGCCUGAUCCAGCCAUGCCGCGUGGAUGAUGAAGGCCUUAGGGUUGUAAAGUCCUUUAACGGGAAGAUAAUGACGGUACCGUAGAAUAAGCCCGGCUAACUUCGUGCCAGCAGCCGC